rnacentral:tRNA from 1 species
UUAAUUGAAGCCAAAAAGAGGCAUAUUACUGUUAAUAAUAUAACUGAACUAAACAAAGUUCCAAUUAAG